GACGAACGCUGGCGGCGUGCUUAACACAUGCAAGUCGAACGGAAAGGCCCUGCUUUUGUGGGGUGCUCGAGUGGCGAACGGGUGAGUAACACGUGAGUAACCUGCCCUUGACUUUGGGAUAACUUCAGGUAACUGGGGCUAAUACCGGAUAGGAGCUCCUGCUGCCUGGUGGGGGUUGGAAAGUUUCGGCGGGUGGGGAUGGACUCGCGGCUUAUCAGCUUGUUGGUGGGGGAGUGGCUUACCAAGGCAUUGACGGGUAGCCGGCCUGAGAGGGUGACCGGCCACAUUGGGACUGAGAUACGGCCCAGACUCCUACGUGAGGCAGCAGUGGGGAAUAUUGCACAAUGGUCGGAAGCCUGAUGCAGCAACGCCGCGUGCGUGAUGACGGCCUUCGGGUUGUAAACCGCUUUCGCCUGUGACGAAGCGUGAGUGACGGUAAUGGGUAAAGAAGCACCGGCUAACUACGUG
rnacentral:rRNA from 1 species